GCCCCAGCCUGUGAUGCUGAGGGUUCUGGGAGUACAUUCCUGAAGCAGGCCAAAGACAAUGCUGUGAGCAGUCAGUCAUCCAAGGUCUACACGUGGAGAACAGCUGCUUCAGAUUUCAGAGAUUCGGGAGGCCUGGGGAGACUUUCCUAAAUGAGAUCCCCGCUUCCGGCACACACUCCCAGUUGCCUAGCAACUGCAGGACGCACUCUGGGAAAUCUGAAGCUUCGCCCCCAGCCCCCUGUGCAGUGAUGAGCUGGUGUGGCCCACCUCCGAGGGCAUGCACUGCAGCUGAUAAUUAUCGGGGUAACAAUCAUAAUCCCGGACCUGCUAUUACUGUGUUUACCGAGGAGCGAUUGCCACAGGAGCUCACACCACUGGCCUUUCCCAGGCCCUCACCCUUCCCUCCCAGUGCUGACUAAGGGAGUAGAAAUAGCCUCGGGCUGUUCCCAGGAGUAGAAGCCACAGCCUCAGAGAGCCCCGGGGCGCUCCUACACCGGUUCUACCACUUAUGCUGCUCCCCAAAGCUGAGAGCGGCCCCCAAAGAAGCAGGAGGAAGGCGGGGGCGCUGGUCUUGCUGGACUUUCUCAGAGAAGCCAGUGGCCUGCUGUCUGCCCUCUUUUCUGGCCCACUCAAGGCCUGGCUAAGGAUGAGGAAGACUUGUGGAGUUAAGGAUGUUCAGCACCCCACACCCACCCCACC
ensembl:lncRNA